UGACUUCCUGGCAGGGAGAGACCGUGGCCGGCCGCGAAGGUGGCUUUCCCGGGGCGAGGCUUAUCCGUGGCACCCCGGAUGUGCUGACCCCUGCGAUUUCCCAAAUGUGGGAAACUCGACUGCAUGGUUGGUGGGGGGGGACUGCGUUCACGCUCUCCCCUG